rnacentral:lncRNA from 1 species
AAGAACAAAGGAAGAAAAGAAGAACACAAACCCUAGGUGGAAAAAUUCAAGGGAAAAGUGUGAAAAUUCAAGUAAUCAAGCAAUCAAAGGUAAAAUUUCUUGAUUUUGACUUGUGAUCUACCUUUCCCAUGCAUUAGUUUGCAUUUUCCAUGGUUGAAUCACAAGAUAUCAUGAAGGGUUCAUGGCUGACCGAAUUUAGAGAGAGAAGAUUUGAUGAUUGAUUUGGUUAGAUUUUAAGAUAUUUUAGUGUUUUUAGUUAGUUAGUGAUGUGUAGCAUGAAAAUCAAGCAAGAAAAAUUCAUUUUAUCCCAUCACCCAUCAUUGGUCGAAUUUUCCAUGUAGAGUGUAGAUGAUGAUUUUGAUUUUAUUUCAAGUGAAUAGGUAAGGAAAUGAUGAUUUAUGGUGUGAGAAUCAAGUAGGAAAAAUCAUAGUAUUUAUGCACCCACCAUGGCCGAAUUUUCCAAGAGAAAAUGUGAAAAUGAUUUUGCUAGAUUUUAUGCUAUUUGAUUUGUGUUUGAUGAUUUGGAGUAUUGGGAGAAAGAUGGAAUUAUUUAGAGUUAAAUUAGACAUAUUGGCCAAUUAAUCGAGAGAUAGAUCGAAUUAGGCCAAUACCGUUUUAUAUAGGUACACAAUUGAAUUUGUGUAGAACACCGUAUUUGGAUAGUUACCCGAACAAUUUGCAUUCCAUUUCAUGCAUUAGUAAAGAGCCUGAAAUAGAAUUAUAAUGGUAUGACACAGUAUAUUGAAUUAUCUGUCGUGUAUGUCUAGGUGGUGAGCAUUCUGGCAAAAGUAAGAAGAUAGUACCCGAGGAUCAAGAAUCGGAGUACUCGAAAUUCGACUCUCGAAAUAGUGAGUAACCUUACUAUCGUCUUAAUUAUCUAAGGUGGUUUUUAUCCGAUUUUGUGAUUUUAUGAAAAAUGAGUUUAAAUGGCAAAUCUUUAUGUUUAUAAGCAAAAUGUGAUUAAAUGAGAUGAUUUCAUAAAAUUGUCUUGAAAUUGAACGAUGGCUUUUCAAAUAGAGUAAUUGGAGACUAUUUUUGUGUGUUGUAAAUUCAUGAUUUUAAUUUAUUGGCUUAUGACAAUAUUGGCAUGAAUGGCUGAAUUGGUAUUUGUGUUGAAAUUAUAAAUUGUUGUUUGCCUUGAUAGGCUGGAUAAUGAUAAAAUUGCCAUGUCAUGCUGUUAAAUUUUUAUUGUAUGGUGGGUUUAGCUUACUGUAGUGGGCCGGUUCUAUGGACCAGCCUAUUAGGAGGGCACGAAACCUGGUCAUAUAUAUGUACCUCGAUUGGAGAGGCGCGUAGGGUAACUCCCGAUGUCAAAUUUUAGAGUUCACUUCACGCCAAACCACCACGUGAGGGGAACUCGACCAAUGCCAAGGAACGGCUAUGUUUUCAAAAUAAAAAUAUGAUUUAUGCGUACAUAACUUUUUACCAGCCUUGGCGGACUCGAUUGGGAUAGCCCUCGAUCAAGGCAUCCUUGAUAACUGGGUAUGAGAAUGAUUUUGGCACGAGCCAAAGUUGUAAGAAAUUCAGAAGCCAUGUUGAUUGCUCGAUUUAUAUGAAUUGAUUUUAUUUGGUUGAAACAAGUUGAUAAGUGAUGAAUUACAGUAUGUUAAACUAUUUUAUCUGUCUCUAUUUACUCAGCUUUACAUAUUUUAGAUGGUAUUUGUUUACUCACUGGGAUUAUAUAAUCUCACCACCCUCAUUUCCACCCCUUUCAGGCUCAGGAUAGUCGGUAGAUAGCUCACUUUGUUGAGGGCUACAGUUGGACUUGCAUCCUCAAAAACUGUAGGUUUAUUGCUUUUAAUACUUUUGGUCGUUCGUGGGCCCACUUGUUAUUGUAAAUUAAAUUAAAU